rnacentral:rRNA from 1 species
GAUCCUGGCUCAGGACGAACGCUGGCGGCGCGCCUAACACAUGCAAGUCGAACGAGAGAUGAGGAGCUUGCUCUUCAAAUCGAGUGGCGAACGGGUGAGUAACGCGUGAGGAACUUGCCUCAAAGAGGGGGACAACAUUUGGAAACGACUGCUAAUACCGCAUAAGCCCACGGCUCGGCAUCGAGCAGAGGGAAAAGGAGUGAUCCGCUUUGAGAUGGCCUCGCGUCCGAUUAG